CAGCAGCCACGGUAAUACAAAGGGUGCAAGCGUUAACCGGAAUUACUGGGCGUAAAGCGUGCGUAGGCGGUUUGUUAAGUCUGUUGUGAAAUCCCCGGGCUCAACCUGGGAAUGGCAAUGGAUACUGGCAAGCUAGAGUGUGUCAGAGGAUGGUGGAAUUCCCGGUGUAGCGGUGAAAUGCGUAGAGAUCGGGAGGAACAUCAGUGGCGAAGGCGGCCAUCUGGGACAACACUGACGCUGAGGCACGAAAGCGUGGGGAGCAAACAGGAUUAGAUACCCCCGUAGUCCCUGUCUCUUAUAC
rnacentral:rRNA from 1 species